UACAGAGGGUGCAAGCGUUGUUCGGAUUUACUGGGCGUAAAGCGCGUGUAGGCGGUGGCAUAAGUCGGAUGUGAAAGCCCUGGGCUCAACCCAGGAAGUGCAUUCGAAACUGCAGAGCUGGAGUCCUGGAGAGGAAGGCGGAAUUCUCGGUGUAGAGGUGAAAUUCGUAGAUAUCGAGAGGAACACCGGUGGCGAAGGCGGCCUUCUGGACAGUGACUGACGCUGAGACGCGAAAGCGUGGGGAGCAAACAGG
rnacentral:rRNA from 1 species